AGCAGAGCCGCGGGAAUACGUAGGGUGCAAGCGUUAAUCGGAAUUACUGGGCGUAAAGCGUGCGCAGGCGGUUAUAUAAGACAGAUGUGAAAUCCCCGGGCUCAACCUGGGAACUGCAUUUGUGACUGUAUAGCUAGAGUACGGCAGAGGGGGAUGGAAUUCCGCGUGUAGCAGUGAAAUGCGUAGAUAUGCGGAGGAACACCGAUGGCGAAGGCAAUCCCCUGGGCCUGUACUGACGCUCAUGCACGAAAGCGUGGGGAGCAAACAGGAUUAGAUACCCCCGUAGUCCCUGUCUCUUAUACC
rnacentral:rRNA from 1 species